UACGUAGGCAGCGAGCGUUGUUCGGAGUUACUGGGCGUAAAGGGUGUGUAGGCGGUUGUUUAAGUUUGGUGUGAAAUCUCCCGGCUCAACUGGGAGGGUGCGCCGAAUACUGAAUGACUUGGAGUGCGGGAGAGGUGAGUGGAAUUCCUGGUGUAGCGGUGAAAUGCGUAGAUAUCGGAAAGAACAUCAGUGGCGAAGGCGACUUCCUGGACUCAUAUUGACGCUGAGGCACGAAAAGCAUGGGGGAGCAAACAGG
rnacentral:rRNA from 1 species